rnacentral:rRNA from 1 species
GUUCAACCUCAAAAGAAGCAGAGGGGGCUUAGUGGUGGGGUGACUGCGUACCUUUUGUAUAAUGGGUCAGCGACUUAUAUUCUGUAGCAAGGUUAACCGUAUAGGGGAGCCGCAGGGAAACCGAGUCUUAACCGGGCGUUAAGUUGCAGGGUAUAGACCCGAAACCCGGUGAUCUAGCCAUGGGCAGGUUGAAGGUUGGGUAACACUAACUGGAGGACCGAACCGACUAAUGUUGAAAAAUUAGCGGAUGACCUGUGGCUGGGGGUGAAAGGCCAAUCAAACCGGGAGAUAGCUGGUUCUCCCCGAAAGCUAUUUAGGUAGCGCCUCGUGAACUCAUCUCCGGGGGUAGAGCACUGUUUCGGCUAGGGGGCCAUCCCGGCUUACCAACCCGAUGCAAACUGCGAAUACCGGAGAAUGUUAUCACGGGAGACACACGGCGGGUGCUAACGUCCGUCGUGAAGAGGGAAACAACCCAGACCGCCAGCUAAGGUCCCAAAGUCAUGGUUAAGUGGGAAACGAUGUGGGAAGGCCCAGACAGCCAGGAUGUUGGCUUAGAAGCAGCCAUCAUUUAAAGAAAGCGUAAUAGCUCACUGGUCGAGUCGGCCUGCGCGGAAGAUGUAACGGGGCUAAACCAUGCACCGAAGCUGCGGCAGCGACACUAUGUGUUGUUGGGUAGGGGAGCGUUCUGUAAGCCUGUGAAGGUGGCCUGUGAGGGUUGCUGGAGGUAUCAGAAGUGCGAAUGCUGACAUAAGUAACGAUAAAGCGGGUGAAAAGCCCGCUCGCCGGAAGACCAAGGGUUCCUGUCCAACGUUAAUCGGGGCAGGGUGAGUCGACCCCUAAGGCGAGGCCGAAAGGCGUAGUCGAUGGGAAACGGGUUAAUAUUCCCGUACUUGGUGUUACUGCGAAGGGGGGACGGAGAAGGCUAUGUUGGCCGGGCGACGGUUGUCCCGGUUUAAGCGUGUAGGUGUGUGUUCCAGGUAAAUCCGGUUCACUUUAACACUGAGGCGUGAUGACGAGGCACUACGGUGCUGAAGCAACAAAUGCCCUGCUUCCAGGAAAAGCCUCUAAGCAUCAGGUAACAUCAAAUCGUACCCCAAACCGACACAGGUGGUCAGGUAGAGAAUACCAAGGCGCUUGAGAGAACUCGGGUGAAGGAACUAGGCAAAAUGGUGCCGUAACUUCGGGAGAAGGCACGCUGACAUGUAGGUGAAGUGAUUUACUCAUGGAGCUGAAGUCAGUCGAAGAUACCAGCUGGCUGCAACUGUUUAUUAAAAACACAGCACUGUGCAAACACGAAAGUGGACGUAUACGGUGUGACGCCUGCCCGGUGCCGGAAGGUUAAUUGAUGGGGUCAGCGCAAGCGAAGCUCCUGAUCGAAGCCCCGGUAAACGGCGGCCGUAACUAUAACGGUCCUAAGGUAGCGAAAUUCCUUGUCGGGUAAGUUCCGACCUGCACGAAUGGCGUAAUGAUGGCCAGGCUGUCUCCACCCGAGACUCAGUGAAAUUGAACUCGCUGUGAAGAUGCAGUGUACCCGCGGCAAGACGGAAAGACCCCGUGAACCUUUACUAUAGCUUGACACUGAACAUUGAGCCUUGAUGUGUAGGAUAGGUGGGAGGCUUUGAAGUGUGGACGCCAGUCUGCAUGGAGCCGACCUUGAAAUACCACCCUUUAAUGUUUGAUGUUCUAACGUGGACCCGUAAUCCGGGUUGCGGACAGUGUCUGGUGGGUAGUUUGACUGGGGCGGUCUCCUCCUAAAGAGUAACGGAGGAGCACGAAGGUUGGCUAAUCCUGGUCGGACAUCAGGAGGUUAGUGCAAUGGCAUAAGCCAGCUUGACUGCGAGCGUGACGGCGCGAGCAGGUGCGAAAGCAGGUCAUAGUGAUCCGGUGGUUCUGAAUGGAAGGGCCAUCGCUCAACGGAUAAAAGGUACUCCGGGGAUAACAGGCUGAUACCGCCCAAGAGUUCAUAUCGACGGCGGUGUUUGGCACCUCGAUGUCGGCUCAUCACAUCCUGGGGCUGAAGUAGGUCCCAAGGGUAUGGCUGUUCGCCAUUUAAAGUGGUACGCGAGCUGGGUUUAGAACGUCGUGAGACAGUUCGGUCCCUAUCUGCCGUGGGCGCUGGAGAACUGAGGGGGGCUGCUCCUAGUACGAGAGGACCGGAGUGGACGCAUCACUGGUGUUCGGGUUGUCAUGCCAAUGGCACUGCCCGGUAGCUAAAUGCGGAAGAGAUAAGUGCUGAAAGCAUCUAAGCACGAAACUUGCCCCGA